GUGCCAGCCGCCGCGGUAAUACCGGCAGCUCAAGUGAUGUCCCAUAUUAUUGGGCCUAAAGCGUCCGUAGCUGGCUGCGCAAGUCCGUCGGGAAAUCCACUCGCCCAACGAGUGGGCGUCCGACGGAAACUGCACAGCUUGGGACCGGAAGGCUCGAAGGGUACGUUCGGGGUAGGAGUGAAAUCCUAUAAUCCCGCACGGACCACCGAUGGCGAAAGCACGUCGCGAGAACGGAUCCGACAGUGAGGGACGAAAGCCAGGGUCUCGAACCGGAUUAGAAACCCCAGUAGUCC
rnacentral:rRNA from 1 species